GUGAGAUCAUGACCUGAGCCGAAGUCAGAUGCUCAACCGACUGAGACACCCAGGGGCCCCAUCGUUGCUUUUCAGAUACAAGGACUUAUUGUUAUCACUAUGUGCUGCUCUGAUUGUCAUCCUAGGAUCCUUGUUUUUGCUUUCCUCCCCCACUGGCCAUGCCAGAGAUGCUCUUACUGAAGUACUGUGGAUCGCCCACCUGACCAUUUCUAACUCCUCCGUCACUGCAGAAAGGUCUCUGGUGCCUCUCCCCAAACCAUCUUCAUAGCAUACCACAGUGUGCAGGAAACCACUGAUUCGGUGAGCAAACCCACCGCUGGAGACACAGAGAGCUGCAGCAUCACCCAACUGUCUGGGUUCAGCAAGCAACCCCUCGAGAGCCGUCACCAGCAGCAGCCAGGCUUCCACAAAUCCAAAACCCCAGGACCUUCCCGGACAAACCCGCACAUCUGGAGGCAGCAGACUGAAGGAGUAUGUUUGGUGCUGUCAGCCUGACCCAGGGCCCCUCUCACACCCGGCCUCUGCAUUCCUCUUC